rnacentral:rRNA from 1 species
ACGAACGCUGGCGGCGUGCCUAACACAUGCAAGUCGAGCGGGGACAUUUUGCUUCGGCGGAAUGUUCUAGCGGCGGACGGGUGAGUAACGCGUGAGCAAUCUGUCCCAUACAGGGGGAUAACAGCUGGAAACAGCUGCUAAUACCGCAUGAGACCACAAUGUCACAUGACGAAGGGGUCAAAGGAGCAAUCCGGUAUGGGGUGAGCUCGCGUCCCAUUAGGUAGUUGGUGAGGUAACGGCCCACCAAGCCGACGAUGGGUAGCCGACCUGAGAGGGUGAUCGGCCACACUGGAACUGAGACACGGUCCAGACUCCUACGGGAGGCAGCAGUGGGGAAUAUUGGGCAAUGGGCGAAAGCCUGACCCAGCAACGCCGCGUGAGGGAAGAAGGUUUUCGGAUUGUAAACCUCUGUCCUUGGUGACGAAGGAAGUGACGGUAGCCAAGGAGGAAGCCCCGGCUAACUACGUGCCAGCAGCCGCGGUAAUACGUAGGGGGCGAGCGUUGUCCGGAAUGACUGGGCGUAAAGGGCGCGUAGGCGGCUUUUUAAGUUAGAAGUGGAAGUCCUGCUUUUAAGGUGGGAAUUGCUUUUAAUACUGGAAGGCUUGAGUGCAGAAGAGGUAAGUGGAAUUCCCAGUGUAGCGGUGAAAUGCGUAGAGAUUGGGAAGAACACCAGUGGCGAAGGCGACUUACUGGGCUGUAACUGACGCUGAGGCGCGAAAGCGUGGGGAGCAAACAGGAUUAGAUACCCUGGUAGUCCACGCGGUAAACGAUGAAUGCUAGGUGUAGGGGGUAUCGACCCCUCCUGUGCCGCAGUCAACACAAUAAGCAUUCCGCCUGGGGAGUACGGCCGCAAGGUUGAAACUCAAAGGAAUUGACGGGGGCCCGCACAAGCAGCGGAGCAUGUGGUUUAAUUCGACGCAACGCGAAGAACCUUACCAGGUCUUGACAUCGAUGUAAAGCAUGUAGAGAUACAUGUGACUCUUCGGAGGACAGAAGACAGGUGGUGCAUGGUUGUCGUCAGCUCGUGUCGUGAGAUGUUGGGUUAAGUCCCGCAACGAGCGCAACCCUUAUGAUCAGUUACUAACAGGUAAAGCUGAGGACUCUGAUAAGACUGCCGGGGACAACUCGGAGGAAGGUGGGGACGACGUCAAAUCAUCAUGCCCCUUAUGACCUGGGCUACACACGUACUACAAUGGCUGUAACAGAGGGAAGCAACAUAGAGAUGUGAAGCAAAUCCCAAAAAGCAGUCUCAGUUCGGAUUGAAGGCUGAAAUUCGCCUUCAUGAAGCCGGAAUUGCUAGUAAUGGCAGGUCAGCAUACUGCCGUGAAUACGUUCCCGGGCCUUGUACACACCGCCCGUCACACCAUGGGAGUUGAGAGCACCCGAAGUCGGUAUGGUAACCGCAAGGAGCCCGCCGCCGAAGGUGAGAUCGAUGACUGGGGUG